UCUCAGAGGAAGCACAAAUCGUCUUAUAUUUUCUCAUCCUUAUCUUUUGUUCCUCAAACCCGGUUGCCGCCCUUCUCCUCCAAUACUGUUCAUUUGCGUUCUUAUUAAUUUUUUUUUCCGUUCUUCUAACCCUAGAACCAACCAGCGGAGGUACCUUGUCUUCUUUUCAUCCGGUAGACCGUUGGGACAGAAGGUAGUCACGAGCAGCAACAACAGCAGGCAAAUGGCGGCAAUAAGUGGCGUUGAGUGGAAGUGGGUGGCUCCGCUGCUCCCUUCCUUGCAUCCGUCUGUCAAGAAUGGUAAAUCCAGAUGAGGUUGAAAUUUCACGUGGUGGAAUUUUGGAAGUCAUCACCACUCUAUAUGCUAAAAUUUCACCGUUCUUUGAAAAAGAAACCCCUGAAGCGUCCGCGAAUAACCAUGAAGACCAACAAGUCGUCGGUUUCUUCCAAUUUUGUUGUCUUUGGAGUUUAGUUAUUUGCUUUGAAAUUGGUUUAACAAAUUUGAAGAAAUUUGUUUUGGGUUAUCUUUAAUUAACUCUAUCUAUUGGAUUUCCAUCUGAAAUUGGUACUAAGAUUAAAUUGUUUGUUUGUAUUGAUUCUCAUGAUUUCAAUUUUUUUUUGGUUCUUCAAUGAUACAGAGGUUAGCUGAUAUGAAAAUGUUAGCAUAUAUUUUUUUUGGGUUAUCUUUAAUUAGGUGUGUCAAUUGGAUUUCCAUAUGAAAUUGGUACUAAGAUUAAAUUGUUUAUUUGUAUUGAUUCUCAUGAUUUCAAUUUUUUUUUUUGUUCUUCAAGGAUACAGGAUACAGAGGUUAGCUGAUAUGAAAAGGUUAGCAUAUAUGAAUCAAACGGUAAAACUUGCAAAAAUUGGAUUGUUUAUUUCUCUUUUAAAUAAUUUGCAAAAAUAGCUCAUUGUUAUACUGUGGAGUCCAUUCAGAUCAUUGUCUGUUGAAUUGGAGGCUUUUAUACUUAUAAAGCUUUUCGUCUCAAAUAGAAUUCGCUAUUUAGAAAAUGUAGCAGCAAAACAGCUCCAGUGAGAUUUUUUUUUUAGUUUUUUCGGAUAAGAAAGUAAAAAUAAAAUUCCAUUGUAUCAUUUCAUCAAACACUUGGCUUUUAAUUUUUUUUAUAGCAGCCUAACAAUGGGAAGAAAGAUUACAAGUUUGGGUUUAGGUUCAUUGUACAUUCUUAUAAUUAUAUAUUAAAAAUGAUUUUUAAUUUUUUUUAUUGAUUUAUUUAUGUAUUUUAGAUGCUUAAUUAUUUGUCGAUUUCUAUGGAUGAUGAUACUUCGUAGGCUUUAAUACUGGCUGCACUCUCUGAUUCG
rnacentral:lncRNA from 1 species